CCGACACAGGUGGAUGAGGAGAGAAUCCUAAGGCCGACGGAAGAAGCAUUGUUAAGGAACUCGGCAAAAUGACCCCGUAACUUCGGGAGAAGGGGUGCCUACGAAUGUAGGCCGCAGAGAAUUGGCCCAAGCAACUGUUUAGCAAAAACACAGGUUUAUGCGAAACCGAAAGGUGAAGUAUAUGAGCUGACGCCUGCCCGGUGCUGGAAGGUUAAGGGGAGAGCUUAGAGGCAACUCGAAGGUUCGAACUUAAGCCCCAGUAAACGGCGGCCGUAACUAUAACGGUCCUAAGGUAGCGAAAUUCCUUGUCGGGUAAGUUCCGACCCGCACGAAAGGCGUAAUGAUUUGGGCACUGUCUCGACAAUGCAUCCGGUGAAAUUGAAAUACCAGUGAAGAUGCUGGUUACCCGCGCCAGGACGGAAAGACCCCAUGGAGCUUUACUCCAGUUUGAUGCUGGGAUUCGGUACUGCAUGUACAGGAUAGGCGGGAGACUAGGAAGAUAUAACGCCAGUUGUAUCAGAGUCGCUGUUGGGAUACCACCCUUGUAGUGCUGGGUUUCUAACCUGCCACCGUGAACCGGUGGAGGGACAACGUCAGGCGGGGAGUUUGACUGGGGCGGUCGCCUCCGAAAGGGUAUCGGAGGCGCUCAAAGGUUCCCUCAGAAUGGUUGGAAACCAUUCGAAGAGUGCAAAGGCAGAAGGGAGCUUGACUGCGAGGUCGACGGACCGAGCAGGUACGAAAGUAGGACUUAGUGAUCCGGUGGUAGAAAGUGGGAUUGCCAUCGCUCAACGGAUAAAAGCUACCCUGGGGAUAACAGGCUUAUCACUCCCAAGAGUUCACAUCGACGGAGUGGUUUGGCACCUCGAUGUCGGCUCAUCGCAUCCUGGGGCUGUAGCAGGUCCCAAGGGUUGGGCUGUUCGCCCAUUAAAGCGGUACGCGAGCUGGGUUCAGAACGUCGUGAGACAGUUCGGUCCCUAUCCGGCGCGGGCGUAGGAUAUCUGAGAGGAGCUGGCCUUAGUACGAGAGGACCGGGCUGGACGGACCGCUGGUGUAUCUGUUGUCAUACCAAUGGCAUAGCAGGGUAGCCAAGUCUGGAAGGGAUAAACGCUGAAGGCAUCUAAGCGUGAAGCCCCCCUUAAGAUAAGAUAUCCCUGGAGUUAAUCCAGUAAGACCCCUUGAAGACGACGAGGUAGAUAGGGCAGAGGUGGAAGUGUGGUAACACAUGGAGCUGACUGUCACUAAUAGGUCGAGGGCUUGACCAA
rnacentral:rRNA from 1 species